rnacentral:lncRNA from 1 species
CUCAGAUUCUGGUGGCAGCAACUUGGUGGAUGCUCUGGCUUGAAAGAAACAACGCUAUCUUUAGAAAUCAACCGAUCGACGUAAUCCAAAUUUUCCACAGCAUUGGAGUGUUGGCAAAAGAGUGGGCUGACUUCAGUCGAGCUGGAUGACGUUUUACUUGUUAGGCUGUAUAGUAUUUUUGUCACCUGUGGUCGUGGGUCUUUCUCUUUUUCUUUUUUUCCUUUUGCUAUCCUCUUUCUGUUUCUGUUCUUCCUACCUUUUUGAGGCCUUAGCUGCCUCAUCCUUUAUAGCUAAUUUUAUUUGCUGAAUGAAUGAAACGAAUAGUGUGCUACCUUCCUCUUAAAAAAAAAAAACUUCUCUAUGAGAACAGAGAAAAAAUCUUUAUAACAACUAUACUACA